AGGGAUUUGAGAACUUCACUGUAAGAGUGGUAGCUACUGACUACAAGCAGUUUGCCAUGGUGAUGAUCCAGUUGAAUCCUGAAAACUUUUACUGCUACACACUUUUCAUCUAUGGGAGGACCAAGAAGCUAAACUCUGAAGUCAUAGAACGGUGUCGCUGUAUCUCCAGGUCUCUGGGACUCAUUGAUAAAUUUUUCUUUGCUGAACUCCAAGAGGAGUGCAUUGCUGACUGACUGUAAAUGAGGCAGCGAGACAAUGCUGUACUUCUGUCACUUCAUUCCAAGUUGUGAACCAGCUUCGUCAUCAGGCACAAUGCCAAUGAGAGAACUGGAAGACACUUCUCAAAGCAUAAUACUGCCAACUGUCCUUUGAAAUACUACUACAAUUUUGGAGCCCAAUUUUAUGCCCAAAUACACACUUG